GUCGGUACAUGCGCGCGCAGCACGCGCUCUGAUCAAAGCUGAUCCCAGCAUGAUCAAAGGGAGAUGUGUGCUGCAGACCACAGGUGAACACAGAGUAAAGAUCCAGAACCCACGUGCUGUUUCCUGAGUGGUCUCUAUAUACCCAAGAACACAACGCAGAGGACACACACACGCACACACACCCACACAUGGGUUACACAAACACAUGAUUGUAAAAACUAAAACACAACCAAACACACUUUUAGAAGACCGACUAAAAUGUAAUGAAUCAGUCAGACUCUAAAAUAUUUAA